rnacentral:rRNA from 1 species
AAUAGAUACCCUGGUAGUCCACGCCGUAAACGAUGAGUGCUAAGUGUUAGAGGGUUUCCGCCCUUUAGUGCUGCAGCUAACGCAUUAAGCACUCCGCCUGGGGAGUACGGUCGCAAGACUGAAACUCAAAGGAAUUGACGGAGGCCCGCACAAGCGGUGGAGCAUGUGGUUUAAUUUGAAGCAACGCGAAGAACCUUACCAGGUCUUGACAUCCUCUGACAACUCUAGAGAUAGAGCGUUCCCCUUCGGGGGACAGAGUGACAGGUGGUGCAUGGUUGUCGUCAGCUCGUGUCGUGAGAUGUUGGGUUAAGUCCCGCAACGAGCGCAACCCUUGAUCUUAGUUGCCAGCAUUUAGUUGGGCACUCUAAGGUGACUGCCGGUGACAAACCGGAGGAAGGUGGGGAUGAUGUCAAAUCAUCAUGCCCCUUAUGACCUGGGCUACACACGUGCUACAAUGGAUGGUACAAAGGGCUGCAAGACCGCGAGGUCAAGCCAAUCCCAUAAAACCAUUCUCAGUUCGGAUUG